CCGCUCAGUGUCGUCUUGUUGGCUGUCGCGUUCGUGUGCGCGCACUGAGAGAAACGGAACGCCACAGUUGCACUUUCGGCUGCAAUUCCUCGAUAUUCCUCGAGUCCCCGCGAUUCCUGACUUGCUCCACCCGCCUCUCGCGAAGUGCGUGCGUUUCGGCCAAACCAAAACAAAACAACUACCGCCAUCGCGUUCAAGAUACAAGCCACAACCAUCCAUCAGGGGGCACAUAGAAUAGUUGGAGGCGCAGAGGAAAAAACCCUGCCGUGGAGGGCAUUUGCAUUUUGUUUACCUCGAUGGCUGUGUGGAGUGCAAUUUGACUAUUAUAUAAUAUAACAAAAUAAAGAAGAAAACAAAUAAGUGUGUGCGCUGCAUUCGAUUUUAAUUGCAAGCAACUGCAAUAACCACUGAGGAAGAGGAAGACAGAGAAGAACAGAUCUUUUGCAGUAAUAUGUUGCCUUUAAACCAAUUGGGAAACCAACAACCAAAGUUAACGCAACGUUUCUAAAACUUAAAGUCUAAUCAAACAAAUAACAAAUUCAAAGUACACAAUAAAAUUGAAACCAAACCAAAAGUGGCCUGCAAAACGAAGCAACUAAAACAACCAAGAAAUGUGAUUCAAAGUGUGCAAUGUAACCAAAUUAUUAGUAAAAAAAUUUAACAAAACACAAACCAGGAAGGGGAAAAGCUGUGGAAAAUCAGCGGGAAAACCAAAGCCAGGCCAAAUGGAAAUCAAGGAAUCCGGGAGCCAAUCGCCAAGCCAACUAGCAGCCAACGUGGCCAAUGAUUAAGGGAACACUUUGUUAGCCAACUCGUAGUAGCAGCAUCCCCCGUCCACACAUCACAGCACCCGGAAUACAGCCACUCAGCCGAAACACAGAACCACUCGACCUCCCCUCGCAGCCCUCGAUGCCCGGAAAGAAGGCGUUGGAGCAACAAUUGUAGAGUAGACAGCCAGACAACCACAUCAGCGCCGCUCAGCUCCCAACUCCGAGUCCUAGACCCCGAAUUCCGCACUCCAGCUCCCAGUCAAUCUCAAUCACGAGCCAAAACCCCAACAUGGACAUCAAGAUUGAGCAGCAGCAGCAGCAGCAGCAGCAGCAGCAGCAGCAAGUGGAGCUGGGACCUUGUUCCCCCUCGGAGGUGCCCAAUGAUCCCGGAAAAAUGUUCAUUGGCGGCCUGAGUUGGCAGACAAGUCCAGAGAGCUUACGCGAUUACUUUGGACGAUAUGGUGAUAUCUCAGAGGCUAUGGUCAUGAAGGAUCCCACGACGCGCAGAUCCAGAGGCUUCGGCUUUGUCACAUUCAGCGAUCCAAAUAGCGUAGAUAAGGUACUCACCCAAGGCACACACGAGCUGGAUGGCAAAAAGGUCGAUCCGAAAGUAGCUUUUCCGCGCCGAGCACAUCCCAAGAUGGUGACGAGAACGAAGAAAAUCUUUGUGGGCGGCCUCUCGGCGCCCACCACACUGGAGGAUGUCAAAAGUUACUUCGAACAGUUUGGUCCGAUCGAGGAUGCCAUGUUGAUGUUCGAUAAGCAGACCAAUCGGCACAGAGGUUUUGGCUUCGUUACAUUUCAAAGCGAAGAUGUGGUAGACAAAGUUUGCGAAAUUCAUUUCCACGAGAUAAACAACAAAAUGGUCGAGUGCAAGAAGGCGCAGCCGAAGGAGGUGAUGCUGCCGGCCAACCUGGCCAAAACAAGGGCUGCCGGACGCUCCGCAUACGAUAACAUCAUGUGGGGACUGGGGACAUUGCCCGAAGGUUUUCCGGCAGCUGCCUACGCUGCCUAUGCCGCUGGCCGCGGAUACUCGGGCUAUCCCAGUUUUGGACUGCCCUAUCCAACUGUUGAUCUAACCAACGGGCAGCUGACCCCCAACAACAACACACCGCUGCUGACCCAGGCGCUGUCAGUGAUGAACAACUAUCAGGCGGCUGCCGCGGCCGCCCACAGCUAUGGGCCGUCGGCCUCGCCGCACGCCGCCGCCGCCAACACGGCCACCCGGCAGGGAUUCCCGUCGACCAACUCGCCCGGCCCCACCAUCGACAUGUACAGCUCGGCGGCCGCCGACAACGUGGGCUACGUGCAGGCCACCAGUCCGCAGCCGUCCGGCUUCCCCAUCGCCGUCAGCCGAGCCCCGUUGAACUACAGCCCGAUUUAUUCGUUGAACUUUGCGAUGGCUAAUAUAUAAAAGACUGAUAACCCAAAAAUAUAAAUGCAAGAGAACAAAAAAACAAAACAAAAGAUAUGCAAAAAGUAAAAGAAACCAAUUAUAUAUUUAAAUCGAAAAAAUAUAUGAAAAAAAAAGAUACAAAUAAAAUAAAGCUAAACGAAAGCAAACAAAAGAAAUAAGAGUAUAAACAAAAACGCAGUUGCACAAGGGACCACUAAUUCCUGCGGCAUUUACAAAUGGAUACCAUUAAAAGGUGGCGCCGACAACCGCAAUGAGAACAACAACAACAACAACAACAAAGGCAGCAGCAACAACAACAGCAUAAUUAACAACAACAACAAGAGCAACAAGAGCAACAGGAGCAACAAAUGCGACAGCAACUUUAGCAACAAAUGACAGACACACACAGAUACACACUCACACACUGCAGUGCUGCAACCACAGAGCGCAAAAAAGAAGAAGCAAAAAUAAUUAAAAAUUAUAUAUACCUGCAUAUAUAUAAAUAUAAAUCAAAUAAAGUACAUAUUACAUAUUUGUGUAUUUCCACAAAUGGCAAAAAUUAAAUCCGUUAAGCAAGAAAAACCGAGACAACUGCAAGAGCAACAAACAAUAAACCAAACACACAUAUUAUAAUUAAUUAAUUAACGUAUAUUACAAAUACGUACAUAUUAACGCAUGGCAAAAAAGAAAAAACGUAUAUUAAAAAAGUAAAAAAAAGGAGAAAAAACGAUGACGACGAACUACGAGCGAACACAAACAAAAAAUUAAUUUUAAUUUAACAACCACUACAACAACAGCAGCGGCAAGAACAACGCUCGGCCCCGAAAGAUGCAACGUGUGCAGCAAAAAUCGUUUAAAAUGCAAAUUAAACGGAAACUGCGCGUCCAACUGGAGUGGAGUGCCAUCGCGGUGGGCGGCUGCGGCCUGGGUGGGCGUGGCCCUGCUCAUACAGCAAAAAAUCCAGAGGCCUCACGCCCCCUCCCCACACAAAAGGGGCGUAACCACUUUUAAGUAAUGAGAAACCAACAAACGAAGGCAAAAAAUGAAAAACAAAAAAAGGAAAUCACAAAAAAACGAGGGGGUUACUAAUAAAACGAUAGAGUUGAAAAAAAAAAACAAAUCAGAUAAAGCAAAAAUGUUGCAAUAAUAGCGAAAAUGUUAUUAUUUAAUUGCGUAUUAUUAACGGCAAAUUAUUAUUACCAUUAUUAUUGCUAUUCUUAACGUAUCUAAGUUGUAACUUUUAAAGUUAAAAUCGAUAUAUAUAUAUAUACAUAUAUAUACAAGAAUAUACACUCUUAUACACGUAAAUUAAACUGCAAUAUAUACAAAGGGAAUUACUUGAAUCAAAACGCGGAAUCCAACCACAAGUUAUUGUACUUUCAACGAUAAUUAUCGAUUUAGCAACGCUGGCGUGCAGAGGAGUUUGAAAACGUUAAUCGGUAUCGGUUGGGCUUAGUUCUCAUUUCUCGACUGGAUGGGGGGGUGAAUCAAAUCAAAAUUGUGCUUACAAUUAUAUUUAUGAAUUUAUUUUAAAGUACAACAAAUCCUUUAUUGGCCAAAGUAAACAACAAAGAAACAAAAGCGAAUGUGAGCAAAGUCGAAGGCAAUUUGUUAUUAACUAUGUUGAGGUUCUCUUUCUCAUUAUUUCAAUCGAAUCAGGGGAACUUAGAGGCAAAAGAAAAGUAAACCUAUAACUUUUGUGUUCACAUUGAAAGCAAAAUGGUAAAUAAUGCUAAUUAAACAGUGGUUAGUUAGACAAAUAUGUUAAAGCAUUAAAUAUGACAAUGAAAGCGAAGUGAGAGAGUGAAUUUCCGUAGCUCGAGGCAUAAAUCAAUUUAUUUGCUAAAAACAAUGGAGAAUCCAGAACAAUGAAAACUGCAAAAAACAACUCCCUAAAUAUGUAAGAAACACAAUUUUUCAGAUACAACACGGCACACAUACAUAAACACACACAGACAGGACACAGACCUUACGGAUAAAUCAAAAAGAAACACUUAAACAAAUUACUUGGUAAGAGCAUAUGCAAAUAUAACAAUGAACUAUUAUACAAACAACAUAUAGUACGAUUAAGUAAAUAAAAUAUUUAUAAAACAAACGCGCAAAAUCGCAAAUGUUUGAACACUUAACUAAAUAUAUCUGUAAACAAGCGUGUAAAAAGGAUCACAGACGAGCGAUGAGCGAUGAGCCACAUAAAAUGGCAGUGGAAAAUUGGAAAUGACAAAUAUGGUUAUGGAAAUCAUGAUGUCGAGUUGAAAAUGCAGGCCACGCAAUGUGCAAUUAAUUUUUUUCUAGUCGCUCCGUCCGGCGAAUCGCCCGGACGAUUGAUGUACUAGGCGUGUUUGAGGAUUAUGACGAUAACGAUGACGACGACGAUGCAAUCGGGGGCGUAAUAGAAAAAUAUAUUUAUAUACAACUAUAUGGAGUAUUAAAUUAUUGGAAAAGCAAAAACCAAACAAACCUAUCAGCUAGAUAAGUAAACGACAUUUGUUACACACAGCAAGUGGGGGAAAACUGCAGGCAACACAAAAACCCAAAGGAAAUAGCAGAGAAAGGGAAAUAUUCUAUAAUUGACAGAACAACAAUACGUUGCGCUUUUUCUCUGUCUGAGAUUUUUUGCAUUAGGCGACGUAAAAACCAGAUGAAAAACUAAAACAAAAACAAGGGCAGAGACAGCGAGCGGAGAAAAGCCAGUGGAAAAACAAAAGCAAAUGCCGAAACAGUGAAAAUGUUCCUUUCAUAACUUUUUUGCCAAAUUGUCAAACCAACGCUCUCCAGGACUUUUGUCGAGUCUCGGACCAACAAACUUACACAUUACCUAUAUAGUAGAGGGAAAUCGCGGGAACCGAAACCAAAAGAGCCGGAAAAAACAACCAUACACGAUGUUUAAAGUCGAACAACAAAAUAGUUGCAGUGUAACAUAAAGUACAUUUAACCCUUAAAGUGUUGGGCCACCCCCCCCACACACAUCGAUCAUUUCAGAUUUUCCAAAGAUCGCCUCCUGCGACUUUGCCAUGUGCAUCACACUUAUAAAUAAUCAAAAAACAGAAAGUAACAAAUUAAGGAAGCGAAAAGACAGAAAUCUUCAAUUUUAGAUAGACAAAGAUCAGACCAUUGGACAGUCUGGCAUAUCGGGAGUUUAAAAGAGCACCUUUGCCAGGUGUGGAUUACUUUAGAAGGUCGCAGGUCAAAGGGGAGAAUUCCAGAUGCAGCUUCUGCCCUGCGGGGCGGAUAUUUUUAAAAGGGAAAGCAACGGCAAACAUGUUAUAUUUGCAUAAUAUAUAUAUAUAUAUAUUAAACCUACUUCUAAGGCAUAUAUAAAUAUAUAAAUAAAUAUAUUUUUAAGACAUGUUCUAAAAGCAAUAAUUCAAAACAACAACCAGCGUGGCGAAGGCGGAAUAAAAUUGAACAAAAUACAUAAAAUAUACACCAAUAUAUAAAUAUACAUAAAGAUAUAUACACCUACACGUAAAUAUAUACAUGCAUACCAGAUAUAUAUAUUAAAGAAAGCGAUUAGCUUGAGUCUGGAGAAAUCACUUCGCAGGCAGCUGAGCCUGUGUUGCUACACUUCUUUAACUAGAGCCCCGAUCCACGAUCAGUGGGCCGGCAAUCGUUUGAACUCGUAUUAUUUCUGGUGUAGGUGGACGAGGGAUUAGGGUACCCUAGAUAAUCUCAGGACCCGAGGUCCUGCGUUUCGUUUACGUUGUAAGUCGAAGCAGCUUUAGGUGUAAUGUUGAGUCUUUCCUAGAAGUUUCCCCAGCAUUUCCCCGCUAACGAUCGACUCUAGGCUUUCCGUUUGUGUUUUGUAGUGCUCUAUGUAUUCUAUAAGGAUCUUCUGCGGAAGCUAUAGCCGAACAGAGACAUAUAACCAUUGGUAUACCGGAUCAACUUCAGCUUAAAGAAUACCGAAACAACAAGCAAUGCGUCCUUGUAAACAAAAUCAAUUUCAGUCAAUUAGAGAAUUUCCAACACCAACAAGGCACAGAGACAUAAAGACAACAACAAGCAACAAAAACAUUUUUUAAAAACCAAAAAAAAAGCGAACAAAGACAAACAUUUUUCAUUAUUUUUUUACUGAUGCGCCGUCAGAGCGAAGAGAAUGCAGGAUGAGAUCGCGAUGGCUUGACGGCGCAGGCGCAAAAGCUUUAAAUUGAACAAAAUAUGAAUAACACGAACAAGGAGAACAAUUUAUAGAAUUCGACAGGAAGGCCUCUCUAUUUUAUAUCGAGAACGGAGAAAUGAGUGUAUAAAAAGUAUGCCGUAACGAUUUUUUAAAAAUAAUGUACCCCAUACUUUAAGCUAUACGCAACUUUCGGUCAAAAAGUCAAUUGGUGGUCUAAGCCGGGUAUGAAGCCAAAAGUUAAAUAUAUAAACGAAAAGACAUAAAGUGUAAUGUAAAAUAGUUUUAAAUUGGCGAAACACCAGAAGACGACGACGACGAUGAUGAUGAGGACUGGGUGUAGGCGGAGUUACGUAGUUACAUAUACGAAUUGCUUUCCGUUUUUCUCUUAUUAUUGACUUACAAACAUAUCAGUUCUUAUUAUGUGUAUGAGUAUAGCAACAACAUCAACAAAUACGAUUACAAUUACGAUAACGAUUACGAUAAUGAAAUACAAUUUAACUAAUAUCUAGCGCUAACGAACGAAAAAAACUUUCUGUUUAACAAAACCAAGAACAACAAUAACCACGCAGAUGAGUAAGACCAGUAGCUGAGCUGUCCCUUUUGAGAAGCGCGGAGAGCGGCGCGAAAGGGCGACUGGCGGGACUUACGACUUGUGGGCCUUCUACACUUUGACGUGCUUUUAUACGAUAGCAAUCCUUUAACUACACGAGACAUUUCUAUCCUCGGUUCUUUUUUAUAGACAUGUGUACAUACACCUCACACACACCCAAACACACCAAUACACACUCAGCCACAGACACAGACACUGGCACACGCAUAUAUACGAUGGAGAUCACAUACAAAAGAACCUUCAUACGAACGAUCACUUGACUAUUUUUGCUAUAAGUAAGAAAUUCCCCCCAGGAAUGUGUCAGUCGGAAGUGGCAGAACUCCUGCUGACAAAACACCUUUACUAUAUUGACAAUAUCUCUUAUAUAUUUUACACUAUACUAUAUGGAAAAUUAUAUAUUAAUAUAUACAAGAAAAUGAGGAAAACCAAAAACGAAACAAAAUAAUACAUAACUGAGGCAAGACGAACGGCGUGAGUGGUGUUAAAAUUGUAUUUACAAGAAAUGCGUAAACCAAGCAAGAUGAAAUCAUUUUAAUACUUUAUACACAUAAAAGUCAAAGGAAUCUUUAGAGACAAAAGCAGUCGGCAGAUGAAUAUGCAACUACAAGACAGACAACAAGACGAUGAAAAUGAAAAUAAAGAUAAAAAGGAAGAUACAUUUAUAAAAUGCGCCAUAGCAGGGCGUCCAGUUUGUAAGUAUUCUAACUAUGUAAGUAAAGUAAUUAAGGAGCGCAGGACGAGAAUCAAUUAAACAUACAUACUGUCUACGAAGUCGCCGGCCCGAGAGCUUUGGCAACUUUCAUUGCGAAUACUUUAACACAAGUGAAACCAGAUGGAAUGGAUGGGAUGGGUUCGGGUGAUUUCAAAUCGGACACAUUGGGGAUGGGUUGAUGAUGAAUGUUGGAUGCGGUAUGCGGGAUGGGGAUGUGAGAUUGCCAAUGUGUGUACAUAAGCAUAAACAUAACAUAAACUGGUACAGUACUACACUUACAGCAAACUAUACAAGGUAAAAGAACAUAAUAAUUAACAGCCAGAAGGCGGGAGACACAUACACAUAAAUAGAGGCAUAACGAGAAUUUAAUAAACCAUUUUUCAUUUCUAUAAAGAAAUCCGGUAACGAAUUUGUAUAUUUACUACGAGAAAACAAGAAAAAUAUAUACAAAAAGAUAUAUAUUAAACGGAGUACAGACCCAAAAAAAAUAAGAGGAGCGAAGGCCGACGAACCUUUCUGAGAACAGCAAAUAUGCCCGUAUAUACAUAUAUGAGAAUAAAACCCAAAACGAUAUAUAUACACAUAUAUAUACACAUAUAUAUACAUAGUUAUAUAACCAAGAACAACAAAUAACAUAUAGUUAAAUUCAAUAAUGUUAAGCAUUCGAUGAGCAAACAGACAGGCAGGCACGCAUAUUGGUGGCAAAAGAAAUUCAAUUAUAUAUAAGGACCCUCGAACCGAAAAGAACAGAACCAUGCGGCCACCAUACCAUACCAUCCACCACGGCAACAUCCUUUAAAGCAACAACAUCAACAACGGCAAGUGCAACAUUUAUUAACAGACGACAAAAGGGCAAAUUGUUGCUUUCGACAGACACAACAAAUUACAUAAGUUUUUAACGACACACCACAUACACACAUGAACACACCCACUCACACAGUCAGCCCGCAAAAUGUAUAUGCAACAAAAAUGCGAACAACUUUAGCAAAAAAUAAAAAAUCCCUUUGUUCACAAUGUGCCACGUACAGGGAGGAUACAGAUGGGGUUCUUGGGGACUAUUAUCCACUAUCCAUCCCCUCGAUCAGGUUGAGAUCGGCAGUGAAAUCGGCAGAAUCAGCAGCAACAACAGAGAUCAGCAACCGCAUAUUAAACAAAAAACCCAAAAAAUCAACAAAAAAAAACAAAAGAAAAAUACAAAAGAACAGAAAACUAAAACAUGAUUUUAAACAAAAAUGAAAUUAAAUAAUGGCAUAAUAAGUUAAGCUAAUGGUACAUAAGUUUAAAAAACAAACGGCAAGAAACGCUCUAGAGCAACAAAAAAAACAAGAAGAACAGAAAACCAAGACAAACAAAUAUAUAUAUAUAUAAUAAAAAUUAUAAUGAAAUAACUGAGAAAUAAAUAAAUUAAUUCAUAAUGAUAAAUAAACCAAUAUGAACAUUGUUCAAAAACAAA